rnacentral:rRNA from 1 species
UACGUAGGGUGCAAGCGUUAUCCGGAAUUAUUGGGCGUAAAGAGCUCGUAAGCGGUUUGUCGCGUCUGCUGUGAAAACUGGAGGCUCAACCUCCAGCCUGCAGUGGGUACGGGCAGACUAGAGUGCGGUAGGGGAGAUUGGAAUUCCUGGUGUAGCGGUGGAAUGCGCAGAUAUCAGGAGGAACACCGAUGGCGAAGGCAGAUCUCUGGGCCGUAACUGACGCUGAGGAGCGAAAGCAUGGGGAGCGAACAGG